CCAUCGGUGGUUCAAUGGUAGAAUGCUCGCCUGCCACGCGGGGGGCCCAGGUUCGAUUCCCGGCUGAUGCA
rnacentral:tRNA from 1 species